CCUACGGGAGGCUGCAGUGGGGAAUAUUGCACAAUGGGGGAAACCCUGAUGCAGCGACGCCGCGUGAGUGAAGAAGUAUUUCGGUAUGUAAAGCUCUAUCAGCAGGGAAGAAAUAAAGUCCUUCGGACUUUGGACGGUACCUGACUAAGAAGCCCCGGCUAACUACGUGCCAGCAGCCGCGGUAAUACGUAGGGGGCAAGCGUUAUCCGGAUUUACUGGAUGUAAAGGGAGCGUAGACGGCAGCGCAAGUCUGGAGUGAAAUCCCAUGGCUUAACCAUGGAACUGCUUUGGAAACUGUGCAGCUGGAGUGCAGGAGAGGUAAGCGGAAUUCCUAGUGUAGCGGUGAAAUGCGUAGAUAUUAGGAGGAACACCAGUGGCGAAGGCGGCUUACUGGACUGUAACUGACGUUGAGGCUCGAAAGCGUGGGGAGCAAACAGGAUUAGAUACCCUUGUAGUC
rnacentral:rRNA from 1 species